GACGAACGCUGGCGGCGUGCCUAAUACAUGCAAGUCGAACGCUGAAGGAGGAGCUUGCUUCUCUGGAUGAGUUCCGAACGGGUGAGUAACGCGUAGGUAACCUGCCUGGUAGCGGGGGAUAACUAUUGGAAACGACAGCUCAUACCGCAUAAGAGUAGAUGUUGCAUGACAUUUGCUUAAAAGGUGCAAUUGUAUCACUACUAGAUGGACUUGCGUCGCAUUAGUUAGGUGGUGGGGUAACGGCUCAUCAAGGCGACCAGACAUAGCCGACCUGGGGGGGGGAACGGCCACACUGGGAAUGGGACAAGGGCCAAACCCCCAACGGAAGGCACAGUAGGGAAUCUUCGGGAAAGGGGGGAAGUCUGAACGGGGAAAGCCGCGGGAGGUGAGAAAGUUCUUGGAUUCUAAAGAUCUGUUGUAAGAGAAGAACGAGUUUGGGAGGGGAAAGUGCACACUGUGACGGUACCUUACCAGAAAGGGACGGCUAACUACGUG
rnacentral:rRNA from 1 species